rnacentral:ncRNA from 1 species
GUAAAUCCUAUGAAAAGGGAUAGUAAUCAUGAUACAAUGUCAAAGAGAGUUGAAGAUGGUGAGAUUUCAGCACAGUAGUUAAUGAUGAAUGGGCCUUUGAGGAGCGAUAUGAAAUCUUUGUGAGAGUAGUUUAGCCGUAAGUCGCACGUUAUAGCGAAUAAGAUAUUUUUUGUAUCUGAAAUGAGAGGCAUUUUAUGCAAUCUAGGUGGCAACGCGGAUAAUCUCCGUCCUAUUA